AUUGAACGCUGGCGGCAGGCCUAACACAUGCCAGUCGAGCGGAUGAAGGGAGCUUGCUCCUGGAUUCAGCGGCGGACGGGUGAGUAAUGCCUAGGAAUCUGCCUGGUAGUGGGGGAUAACGUCCGGAAACGGGCGCUAAUACCGCAUACGGCCUGAGGGAGAAAGUGGGGGAUCUUCGGACCUCACGCUAUCAGAUGAGCCUAGGUCGGAUUAGCUAGUUGGUGGGGUAAAGGCCUACCAAGGCGACGAUCCGUAACUGGUCUGAGAGGAUGAUCAGUCACACUGGAACUGAGACACGGUCCAGACUCCUACGGGAGGCAGCAGUGGGGAAUAUUGGACAAUGGGCGAAAGCCUGAUCCAGCCAUGCCGCGUGUGUGAAGAAGGUCUUCGGAUUGUAAAGCACUUUAAGUUGGGAGGAAGGGCAGUAAGUUAAUACCUUGCUGUUUUGACGUUACCAACAGAAUAAGCACCGGCUAACUUCGUG
rnacentral:rRNA from 1 species